UACGGAGGGUGCAAACGUUGCUCGGAAUCAUUGGGCGUAAAGCGCACGUAGGCGGCCUGUUAAGUCUGCAAAGAAAGACCCGGGCUCAACUCGGGGAACGGUGUGGAUACUACCGAUCUUGAGGCAAUCAGAGGAUGAUGGAAUUCUCGGUGUAGCAGUGAAAUGCGUAGAUAUCGAGAGGAACACCAGUGGCGAAGGCGAGUCCCUGGACGACUCCUGACGCUGAGGCACGAAAGCGAGGGGAGCAAACAGG
rnacentral:rRNA from 1 species